GAACUCCGCUUGCGGGGGGAUCAGUGGCGAACGGGUGAGUAACACGUGGGCAACCUGCCCUCAGCUCUGGGAUAACUCCAAGAAAUUGGGGCUAAUACCGGAUAUGACUGCUGACCGCAUGGUCUGGUGGUGGAAAGAUUUAUCGGCUGGGGAUGGGCCCGCGGCCUAUCAGCUUGUUGGUGGGGUAGUGGCCUACCAAGGCGACGACGGGUAGCCGGCCUGAGAGGGUGACCGGCCACACUGGGACUGAGACACGGCCCAGACUCCUACGGGAGGCAGCAGUGGGGAAUAUUGCGCAAUGGGCGGAAGCCUGACGCAGCGACGCCGCGUGGGGGAUGACGGCCUUCGGGUUGUAAACCUCUUUCAGCAGGGACGAAGCGGAAGUGACGGUACCUGCAGAAGAAGCACCGGCCAACUACGUGCCAGCAGCCGCGGUAAUACGUAGGGUGCAAGCGUUGUCCGGAAUUAUUGGGCGUAAAGAGCUCGUAGGCGGUUUGUUGCGUCGGCUGUGAAAUCCCGAGGCUCAACCUCGGGUCUGCAGUCGAUACGAGCAAACUAGAGUGUUGCAGGGGAGACUGGAAUUCCUGGUGUAGCGGUGAAAUGCGCAGAUAUCAGGAGGAACACCGGUGGCGAAGGCGGGUCUCUGGGCAACAACUGACG
rnacentral:rRNA from 1 species